rnacentral:rRNA from 1 species
AUUGAACGCUGGCGGCAGGCCUAACACAUGCAAGUCGAGCGGAGAGGGGGAAGGGUGAGUAAGGCCUAGGAAUAUGCAUGGUAGUGGGGGAUAACGUCCGGAAACGGGCGCUAAUACCGCAUACUUUCAGUUGAGCAUAGGUCGGAUUAGCUAGUUGGAGGGGGAACGGCUUACCAAGGCGACGAUCCGUAACUGGUCUGAGAGGAGGAUCAGUCACACUGGGACUGAGACACGGUCCAGACUCCUACGGGAGGCAGCAGUGGGGAAUAUUGGACAAUGGGCGAAAGCCUGAUCCAGACAUGCCGCGUGUGUUAAGAAGGUCUUCGGAUUGUAAAGCACUUUUAGUUGGGAGGCGUUACCAACAGAAUAAGCACCGGCUAACUUCGUGCCAGCCGCCGCGGUAAUAC